rnacentral:tRNA from 1 species
GGUUUGUGGCUCAGUGGUAGAGCACUCACCUGGCAUGUGUGGGGCCCAGGGUUCGAUCCUCAGCACCA